rnacentral:rRNA from 1 species
UACGGAGGGGGCGAGCGUUGUCCGAAGUUACUGGGCGUAAAGCGCGUGUAGGCGGGUUGCCAAGUCCGCUGUGAAAGCCCACGGCUCAACCGUGGAGGGUCAUUGGAAACUGGGGGCUUGAGUGCAGAAGAGGAGAGUGGAAUUCCACGUGUAGCGGUGAAAUGCGUAGAGAUGUGGAGGAACACCAGUGGCGAAGGCGACUCUCUGGUCUGUAACUGACGCUGAGGCGCGAAAGCGUGGGGAGCAAACAGG